CUCACUUCUUGUUGGACAGUACGCUAGUUUUGUGGUGGAAAAGUAGGCUGGAUCUGUGUUAAGAACUAUCUAUUCAGUUAUUCCAAGUCUACACAUUCUUCUAUACACGCAUCUUGAGAAGAGUGAAUUGGAACGGCAUGUUAACACCGGAAUUCAACAAAGCAACGCUGUUGUGGACACUACUCUUUUCCUUCAGAAUUCUCAAAUGCGCAUGGGGAUCAUGCUCUGGUUCAACUACGUCUCGCUAUUAUAGCGGUACAGUUAGUGUAUCUCACUAUGGCAAUAGCAUGACCUGCGACUGGACUCUUUAUGCUCGUC